rnacentral:lncRNA from 1 species
CAGGUCUUGGAGUAGUAGGAAGUAGUUCCUCUCCACCCCGCUACCUUUCGCGGUUGCGGAAGGGGUGGAGAUCGCCCACGGGGUCUGCCUUUCUGAGCGCCAGAUCAAUAUCUGGUUCCAGAACCGUCGCAUGAAGUGGAAAAAAGACCACAAGUUGCCCAACACCAAGAUCCGCUCGGGCAGCACUGCGGGUGCAGCUGAAGCGCCCCCCGGCCGGCCCCAAGCAGGCUCCCCCGCGCUUUAGUGCCCCCCGCGCGGGCGCCGCGGACUCGGGGCGGGGGCGGGCAGCGGGGGGAGCCGGGGAGGGCCCGGAGCAGCCCGCCGCCCUCCCCCCACCCCAACUUUGUAGGAAUAAACGCAGACAAGGAGGGGUAGGGAAAGCUUUAUUUAUAGAAAUGACCGAGGGCCCCCACACACCCGAAGCAAGGUUCAAGUCUCUUGCUUUCUUCCUUAAAAAAAAAAAAAAAAAAAGAAGAAGAAGAAGGGGAAAAGGAAGAAAGAAAAAGACAGAAAGAGCAAUAGGAGGAGGCUGCAGCUCCUGUUCCCAGCGUUGGCGAAGAUGGAUCCACGUUUCAUCUUUAAUCACGCCAGGCCCAGGCCCAUCUGUCUUGUUUACUCUGCCGAGAGGACGGGCCUCGGUGGCGACCAUUACCUCGACACCCAGCUAACAAAUGAGGCCCGGCCCGGCCGCCGCCGCUGCCGCCGCUCCUGGAAGGCUGCCUGGAUUUCCUUUCUUUGUCCCCAGCCCCGACACGCAGCGAAAGCAGCCUCUGACUGCCAGAUAGCGCGGUGUUGUGGCCACGCAAAUCUCCACAGACCGGCUGCUGGGGGAAAAAACUGUUAGCCGCCUCUCCCAGAUCUGCGAGGGGAGAAAAAUCGGACCAUAAAGUUGAAAACUUUUUUCUCUCAGUUUGGAAGAAGCCGUUCAUCAUGAGUGGGACCGGCGGCGCUCGGGCCACAGGAGGCGAGAGGUGCAGAGGCCUCCUGCGCAGGCUUCCUGCCCCGCUCAAACACGCCCUGCGAAAACUCCAAUUUUCUUUCCCCACUUACGUCAAGCACAGAGAAACAAGCGGGUUUGAUCUGAAUAAUAAUAAUAAUAACAACCACCGCCACCUUCCGUCAGUGCAUUUAAGAUGAAGCGGUUCUGCUCCUCUUCUUAGAAGUACAAAUGUCCUUAUCACUCUCAGCCGCCUCUGCCUGUCCUGAGGUGAGAAUCUUCACAGAAACUUCUCCAAAAGUUCUUCCAGCCCCUCCAUUGCCAGCCACGGCUGGAGCUCCAGCUAAGCACCGGGUCCUCCUUCUGUCACCCUCUGCUCCACAACCCUUCCCCCCUGCAAGAUGUUCUGCCUUUUAAAAAUCAACACUCACCGCUUGUUGUCUGUUCUCAAAAAGGGGUGGGGGGAGGGAGUGUUUAAAAAAAAAAAAGUCUGGCCUUCCUCCUCCCUCAGAGAUUUGGGAGGGAAUAUUAGGAGGACAGAAGCAGCAGAGAGACUGGGAGACUCAGAAAGAGGGAGCUAGAGCGAGAGGGCGGGAGCCCCAGCCACCAGUCCCGGAGGAGUGAAACUACUGAAAAAAAGUCCUGGUGUUCCAACUGCGAAUGAGCGCGCAGGGGCACCCAGCACCCCCACCCCCGGCAGGCCAGGCCUCCGCUGGGCCUCCCCAGGCUACUUCUCAAAUUAGCAUAAUGGUUUCCUAGCGGUGGUGGUCGUGUGGGGGGGGGGUGCUGUGAACUCCGCUGGCUCUCCGUGCCUUCCGGGCUCUCUUCCUCCCCCAGCGCAAUGUGAAAACAUACCUGUUCUUUUCUAGAUCUAUAAAAUAAUCUGUAAAAUCCCUCUACCUUCUUUCCUUCUCACCCCCCCUUUUUUGUGGUGGGGGGCAUUUGCCCCCCCUCCGCCAUCACCACCCUCACCUUCUCUCC